UCGACCCAUUUCCCUUUCACAUGUGUCGACGGCGUGUGACAAACGUGAGUGAAAAUUUUGAAGUGAAUCGACAAUGUGUUUGUUUUGUGGUCGUUUUACAAUUUUAACGAAAUUAGGCAAAUUGUGACUUUAAAUAAUUAAAAGUGCUUAACAUUGUGCAAAUUUUAAGACGAAAUUUAGCAAUUUCAAGAAAAAAAAAUUGAAAUGUCUGACAAACCAAAGCGGAAUGGGAAGCAAAGGCAGCUAAAGCCAAGGAAGAUUAUGAUGAAGCGGUGAGAUAAUUUGAGGCCAAUGGAGGCAGCUGCCGAAUUUAUAUUCAUAUAAUCAGCUGGAUUGAAAACACGUUUGCACAAAGUUUCAAGUCACUCACAUCAAAGUUAUAAGUAAAUGUUCUGAAAAGUCGUGAAAAGAAAAAAUAAAAAUUAAUAUUAUACAAUAUAUGUGAAAAAAAAAGUGACAAAUGUGUGAGU